rnacentral:rRNA from 1 species
GAUGAACGCUAGCUACAGGCUUAACACAUGCAAGUCGAGGGGCAGCAUGAACUUAGCUUGCUAAGUUUGAUGGCGACCGGCGCACGGGUGAAGUAACACGUAUCCAACCUUCCGUUUACUCAGGGAUAGCCUUUCGAAAGAAAGAUUAAUACCUGAUAGUAUGGUGAGAUUGCAUGAUAGCACCAUUAAAGAUUUAUUGGUAAACGAUGGGGAUGCGUUCCAUUAGGUAGUAGGCGGGGUAACGGCCCACCUAGCCGACGAUGGAUAGGGGGUUCUGAGAGGAAGGUCCCCCACAUUGGAACUGAGACACGGUCCAAACUCCUACGGGAGGCAGCAGUGAGGAAUAUUGGUCAAUGGGCGAGAGCCUGAACCAGCCAAGUAGCGUGAAGGAUGAAGGUCCUACGGAUUGUAAACUUCUUUUAUACGGGAAUAAAGUAUCCUACGUGUAGGAUUUUGUAUGUACCGUAUGAAUAAGCAUCGGCUAACUCCGUG